rnacentral:lncRNA from 1 species
GUGUCCUCGCUUGUUGGGCAAUUAUAAGCUGUGACCAUCUAGUCCCGCCAUCCUGAGAGGAAAUACCAGUGAACUUGAGUUUCUCCAAUGAAGGUGAUCACAGUGAUGAAUGACUUGGCUUCUGCACAGCAAAAGACAUGAUCAUCAGAGCGAACAGACAACCUACAGAAUGGGAGAGCAUUUGUGCCAUCUAUCCAUCUGACAAAAGUCUAAAAUCCAAAGUUUACAAAGAACUUAAACAAAUUUACAAGAAAAAAACAAACGACCCCGUUAAAAAGUGGGCAAAGGAGAUGAACAGACACUUCUCCAAAGAAGACAUUCAUGCAGCCAACAAAGAUAUGAAAAAAGCUCGACAUUACUACUCAUUAGAGAAAUCCAAAUCAAAACCACAAUGAGAUACCACCACAUGCCAGUCAGAAUGGCAAUUAUUAAAAAGUCAAUAAACAACAGAUGCUGGUGAGAUUGUGGAGAAAAAGGAACACUUUUACACUGUUGGUGGGAAUGUAAAUUAGUUCAAACAUUGUGGAAGACAGUGUGGUGAUUCCUUAAAGAACUAGAAGCAGAAAUACCAUUUGACCCAGCAAUUCCAUUCCUGGGUAUCUACCCAAAGGAAUAUAAAUCAUUUCAUUAUAAAGAUACAUGUACGCGUAUGUUCAUUACAGCACCAAUCACAAUAGCAAAGACAUGGAAUCAAUCCAAAUGCCAAUCAAUGAUAGACUGAAUUAGAAAAAAAAAGUAGUACAUGUAUACCAUGAAUACUAUGCAGCCAUAAAAGGAAUGAGAUCAUGUUCUUUGCAGGGUCAUGGAUGGAGCUGGAAGCCGUUACUUUCAGCAAACUAACACAGGAACAGAAAGCCAAACACUGCAUGUUCUCACUUAUAAGUGAGAGCAGAAUGAUGAGAACACAUGGACACAUUAGGGGGAUCAACACACACUGGGGCCUGUUGUGGGGAUGGAGGGAGGGAGAGCAUCAGAAGAAUAGUUAAUGGAUGUUGGGCUUAAUACCUAGGUGAUGGUUUGUGAUAUGGUUAGGCUUUUUGUCCCCACCCAGAUCUUAUCUUGAAUUGUAAUCCCUGUAAUCGCCAAGUGUCUAGGGAGAUACCUGGUAGGGGGUGAUUAAAUCAUGGGGGCGGUUUCCCCCAUGCUGUGGUUGUACGGAAAAGAAAGAGAGAUCAGACUGUUACCGUGUCUAUGUAGAAAGGAAAGACAUAAGAGACUCCAUUUUGAAAAAGACUUGUACUUUAAACAAUUGCUUUGCUGACAUGUUGUUAAUUUGUAGCUUUGCCCCAACCACUUUGCCCAAACCACUUUGACCCAACCUGGAGCUCACAAAAACAUGUGUUGUAUGAAAUCAAGGUUUAAGGGAUCUAGGGCUGUGCAGGACGUGCCUUAUUAACAAAAUGUUUACAAGCAGUAUACUUGGUAAAAGUCAUUGCCAUUCUCUAGUCUCAGUAAACCAGGGGCACAAUGCACUGCGGAAAGCUGCAGGGACCUCUGCCCUUGAAAGCUGGGUCUUGUCCAAGGUUUCUCCCCAUGCGAUAGUCUGAAAUAUGGCCUCGUGGGAUGAGAAAGACCUGACCGUCCCCCAGCCCGACACCCGUAAAGGGUUUGUGCUGAGGUGGAUUAGUAAAAGAGGAAAGCCUCUUGCAGUUGAGAUAGAGGAAGGCUACUGUCUCCUGCCUGCCCCUGGGAACUGAAUGUCUCGGUAUAAAACCCGAUUGUACAUUUGUUCAAUUCUGAGAUGAGAGGAAAACCACCCUGUGGUGGGAGGCGAGACAUGUUUGCAGCAAUGCUGCCUUGUUAUUCUUUACUCCACUGAGAUGUUUGGGUGGAGAGAAACAUAAAUCUGGCUUACGUGUAUGUCCAGUCAUAGUACCUUCCCUUGAACUUAAUUAUGACGUAGAUUCUAUUGCUCACAUGUUUGUUGCUGACCUUCUCCUUAUUAUCACCCUGCUCUCCUACUACAUUCCUUUUUGCUGAAAUAAUGAAAAUAAUAAUCAAUAAAAACUGAGGGAACUCAGAGACCGGUGCCAGUGCAGGUCCUUGGUAUGCUGAGCGCCGGUCCCCUGGGCCCACUGUUGUUUCUCUGUACUUUGUCUCUGUGUCUUAUUUCUUUUCUCAGUCUCUCGUCCCACCUGACUAGAAAUACC